UUUUAAAUUCAAAACACCUUUUUGGGUGAACAGUCCCGCCCUUCCCCCUUUUCCCAAGAGAGCAGUUUUCUGUCUUCCAAAGCUUGUCACUCACUCACUCAUGCUCACACUCAACCUGUCUUAUCUCUCAUCUCAAGAUACCACUCUUUUCAUAUUCCUUCUUCCUCUUUUUCUCAUACAAACGGCGGCCACCCUCAAGCUUCACAGUCUCUCUCUGCUCCGAUCAGACUCUCUAUCGAUCUCUUCUCUCUGAUUCUCCACUCAACCCUUGGUUCAAUCAUUUGGUCCUGGUUUGAACUCAAAUUUUUAUGUGUAUAAGCACUAGAAUUUGUAGACUUUGAUCCUGUUAUGCAGGUUUCUAUUAUGGAGGUUUCUAAUGUACACUGCUCGAUUUUUUUCCUACAUAAACUUUUUUUAUUUGUGUUAAAUGGUACACUACUUGAAGCAGCAGACAGCAAAGAAAAACAAAUACGCCAGAGACAUGAAGUUGCUUGUCAUGAUGGUUUGGUUGAGGAAGCCAGGCGUAAGGCAGAAGAGAAAAGGAAAAUUGAGAUAGAAAGAAGAAAGCAUGAGGACGAGUUAAAACAAGUGCAAAAACAGGAGGAACAUUUUAAUCGUGAAUGACAUUUGUGAAUUUCUGAAUUUCUAUUGACAGUGGUGCACUACACUCCUAUAUAUGGCUCCUUUAGACAACCUUCAUGUUCCCUUUGUUCCCUUUAGACUACUAAGUAUGUAUAGACUACUAAGUGUGUAAGUUGGAAGUAUAUUUUGCUAGGUUCUGCUGUACCAAAAUAAAAGCUGAGAGUAUAAACAAUUUGUACUUUCAGGAGCACCAAAUUUUGAGAAAAUCUGAAUGGAAGAACAUAUGUUGACUAAUGAAUGUCAAGAAAUUAACCACAUAAGCAUCACCAAACGCAGCAUGAAACGAAGGACUUCGGGUUCGAGUUGUUGUACAGCUUCUGUAUUGGGAACAAGUUUGAACAGCUUCUGCAUUUAGGGCUUACAGUAUUACAAGUCUUAGCAUAUGUUUGGAUCCACGUUUUUCAUUCAAUUUCGCGUCCCAAGGCAAAUCUACCGUGAUUUUUUAACGCUCCAAAUUAUAACUUUUGCUAGAA